AACGGCCGUACCAUGCUGAAUAUACCGGUUCUCGUUAGAUCACCGAAGUUAAGCAUCAUUGGGCGCGGUCAGUACUUGUGUGGGUGACCACCUGGGAACACUGCGUGCCGUU
rnacentral:rRNA from 1 species